rnacentral:rRNA from 1 species
UACGUAGGGUGCGAGCGUUGUCCGGAAUUAUUGGGCGUAAAGAGCUCGUAGGCGGUCUGUCGCGUCUGCUGUGAAAACCCGAGGCUCAACCUCGGGCCUGCAGUGGGUACGGGCAGACUAGAGUGCGGUAGGGGAGAAUGGGAUUCCUGGUGUAGCGGUGGAAUGCGCAGAUAUCAGGAGGAACACCGAUGGCGAAGGCAGUUCUCUGGGCCGUAACUGACGCUGAGGAGCGAAAGCGUGGGGAGCGAACAGG